GCAGUAGCUCAGUGGAAGAGCAUCAGCUUUGAAUGCAGAUGGCCCAAAGUUCAAUCUCUGACAUCUCCG